rnacentral:lncRNA from 1 species
UGCAGAUUCUUUAUCCUAGAGUAUGGAGCCUCCCCCAUAGCUGGUUCAGGCACAGGUCACCGAGCCCACCUUGCCACUAGCUGUCUGCAGAUCAGUGACCAAGCAGAAGAGCAAACGGUGUGGCCUCAUCUUCCAAUACACUGUGAAGAGAGAAGGCUGCCGGCAGCUCCAGACUUACAAUGCAAUCAUGUGUUUCUCUCCACAAGCUCCUGUCAUGUCCCAGGAUUCACUCUGCUUAGCUCAACCUGGCUCACACGGUCAUCUCUGAACUGUGCUGUAAAGGCAAGCUCUGAUCUGGCUGGUCUCAGAUCACACGGACCACCCCCAAAAUCAGGGAGAGGUGCAUCACAGAACUGGUGACAGAGAAGGUCGACUAGAAGCUGAGUCAAUUUAAAAAGCACCAAAUGUCUCAAAAGAAUGAAUAAAACAUAGAAAGAAC